ACAGCAUAUAAUUUUUGACGGAUGCACGUGCGUAUUUUCGUGCACUACUGACUGGUAUUUUUAAAUGGUCUAUGUGGAAACUUUUGUAAAUGUAAUUGGAUUUUUCGAACUGUUCAACGCUUGGACUAAAUAAAUGCUUGGACUUUAACAUUUGACAGUGUGCUAAAGAUGGAAUGGGCAAUGCAAUGAGUUUUUCGAAAAAGCACUUAAUGAAACCAUAGGAGAUUAUUUUCAAAAUAUCCUUUGGGAAAAGCUGUGAAUAUAAUUACUUUAUUGGUACCGUUUUGCUGUGUCAUCAAAAUGAAAAGAAAGAAGCACAAAACGUUUUUUCUAAAGAAUGCAGAAUUAAUAAACACAAACAAACAAAAAACAAAGAUUUCUUCAUAACAUACCUUCUUAUUCACUUGAGAACAGAAAAUGUUAUUUCCAAGAUGCCACUAUCAAAUUGGAGAAACUCUGUAUUUGUGGCAAGUGCAGAGAUUAACCUUUGGCUUAUACCUUAAAUUUAUAUAUUAUUUAUGCUUUGUGGAUACAAUCGUUGUAUCUCACACGACACGCUCGUCUCAUCAGUCACGCUGGUAUUUUAAACGCCUUGUCUGAAGAAUCGAUUCUUGUGAAGAGUAAGGCUAUUCAAACAGUCGUUAUGGCACUACGAGAUCUGAUGUGAAAAAAUUAAAUUUUAAAGUAGAUAAAUUUUUAUUAUUUUGUGGAAUGAAAAAUUAUUUUUAUAACUGAAUAAAUUAGUCUUCUUAUUGCGUAUUAUAUCUUUAUAUCUACUUAUUUUAUAGAGAACGAAAUAUAACAUGUUUGUACAGGCAAAUAUUUAAUUGGUUAACGAUAUUUUUUGUUUACACGUCCUUUCAGCUAGUAGGAUAGAAAUAAAGAUGUUAAAAUUUAUUUUCCGUUAGCAAAAGUAGUUUCAUUAUUAAUCGCAUAAUUUAAAUUAAGCGUUUUUUUUUUACGAAGAAGUAAUUAGGGCGCGUAGGGUGUGGUUUGGUUUAAAGAGAAAAUUUUUAAUUAUAUAACUUAUUGUUUUUCUUUUUCUUCUAUCCUCCUAGAUCCCUGAGACUUAAAGCUGCUUAUGUUUCUCUGCUUUAGAGAAUCGAAAGUUAAUGUGCUACUUUUAGUCUACAUCUUCGUGCAAAAUUUACUGCAUUAGUCAAAUAUAGUGAAUUCUUGUUAUAUUUUUGCUAUUUUAAUUCCAUUUUAAUCCUACAAACCUCUACUUAGUGUUGCUAGAAAUAUGUUGCUUAUACGAAAAACGUGUAAAAAACCUGGCGAACUGCUAAGUAUUAAUGUUUUUGAUUUAUAGUGGGA